GGUUAUAUAAAAGUAUAGGGCACAGUUGGAAUUAACCAGAUGGGAUGAUGGCUGUCAUUUUAAAGACUAACGCGCUUCUUGUCUGCUUUUGGAAAUGUCGCCUCUGCGUGACCUUGUGAACUUGCCUGCCGCGUGACCUCGAGAAUUCCCUCAAACGGCUCCCCGAACACCCCUCCACAUCUUUGUGCUCAUUUGUACAGGCUAUCACCCAGGCAGGAAGUGACAUCAACGGGUCCAAACUAAAAAUAUGUCGCAGGACGGGCUGUGUAGGAUGCCCAGGACCGGUGUUUGUAAAGGAGGAUACCUUGCACCGGCUCUACAAAGUGAUGCUAACUGAAGGAUGCAGCAGAGCGCCAUACAGGCGAGACAGACAGACGCACUGGAGACUGAGCUCUCUAUCAUGGCUGUCUGCAGAAUGUGGUGCUGUCUGCUAUCCAGUUAUGGCUGAGGUCCUCUUGUUCCUCCGUCUCGUCUAUCUCUAUCCCUGCAGCUCCUGGCUAUCUUCACCCUCUAUGGCUCCUUCAUGAUGGCCCCCUAAUCUCUGCCAGUGUGGUUCCAUGUAUGCAUUGCGAGGCGGCUGUGUAAUCUAGCCUGUGAACUCAACAUCUGAAGGAAGGAUUCUGUUUCUGAUCGCAUCCCUAUUGAAGUCCAUCCAUUUGCUGAAUAUGGAUUUGUUGACGUGCUCAAGCUUGCACUCAUUGAAUAUACCACAUCUGAGGGACCAUGAAUAAUGCCAAGGAGCCUAAGAGAAACCCCCCCCCCACUCCCUCUCUCCAGCUUAUUACCACACAGCUGUACUAUAAGUCUUUACUUGGAGACGCCGAACACACGGCGGGUGACUCUUGGACUGUGACGUCAGCCUCACUCCUCUGUCUUCCAGUCUUUACGCUUUUUAAUACCGUUAGAAUGUAAAGGGAAUCUCACAGCAAAUCCUCUCCAAUAACAGUUCUUUCUUAGUGUGAAAAGAUCAAGACUUUUAAACUACUCCUAUAUCGUAAUGUACCAGUCACUCUUAAGAUAAUACUGCUCUAAUGUAUAAAGUUUUGCUUGCUUUUAACAAAAUUAAGUUAAAUAUGUUCAGCAUACAUUUUUAUGAUAAUUUAUAAUAUAAAAUGGCUGUAUGUAACUUAGUAAGUAAACAAAUAUGUAAAUGUUUUCCAUCUCAGGAUACUCUAAUAGGUUUUCUCAGUGUAGAAAUGUGUUAGGAUAGAAGGCAAAAUAGGCAAAAUAUUCUGUAAUAAGUGGAUUUAAUGCUUUUGUUUCUUGUUUUAUAUUCCAAUAUCUUGAAUGCAGCAAUUAAAGCUACUGUUAAAGGUCUAUACAGAGAUGUUUCUGCUUUAUUUACAUUUCUCUAGUUUACAAAUCACAACUAGUGGAUCUCUUUAUUGCUCCUGCAUUUUUAAAAACUAUGCAACUUUAAGUUGUAUUAAUUACAUAAUUAAGAUCUGUGUUGUUUUUAUUUUUUCUGACAUUAAUGGGCCGAACGUGGUUGAAGGUGUACCAUGUCUGUGUAAUUAACCUCUUCAAAUUAAGAUUAUAUUAAAAAAAUGACCUAAAAUAAAAUAAAAUUAAAGACUUGUUGACAUUUGCAUUCUUUGUACUCUGAAUGUUAUUUAGAUGAUAUAGGUCUAAAAUAAAUCUAUGUAGAGCAAAUUAAGCUAUUCUUUGUGAAGGCUUAGUCGGUCAUUUAUGAUAAAUUAGAUGAAAUGGUCUUUCUCGACAUGUUCCAUUAGGUGGUAAAAGGUUGCAGCAAAGUGAUUGCAGGAGACUGACUAUAAUUUUCUUCUUACUAAAGAUAGUACAUCUCAUUUACAAACCAAGUAAGCAAUUAUUGGCUGGAAUGAUGAGGUCUGUGAUUCACUGCAACAACUCCUUUUAUUUAGAUGCAACGUGUGUGUGUGUGUGUGCUCUAGCUUGUGUCCAGGGUCUCCACAUACGUCCUCGGGGAAUAGAGAAAGGUAAUUUUGGCCGUCUGACCUCAGACUGAGAGAAUUCCAAUCUCUUACCGUUACUAAAUCUUUAUCUUCACACAGGCUGUAUAGCUUCGCCUCUCUUGAGUUAUAAACUGUCGGCCUUUCUGCUAGUCCUAUAGUCAUCCAGCCGUUUUAUUGUCUCAGUGGGGGUACAGAGUUCAGGCAGCAGUCAUCCCCAAAACAGAGGUGAACUGUUUAGGGAAGCAUCUUGGCUACUGUGCUAACUUAUCAUUCAGACCUGUCGAGGCUUUGAAGGAGCACAAAAAAACCCAGUGUGGAUUCCUCAUUGUAAACUAGUUGUAGAUUUUAGUGCACAGCCAGUUUGUCCCAUGAAUAAACAAAAGCUCUUGUUGAAAGUUUAAAAUAUUCACCUCUUUAUCUCAAAUAAACAGAUAAUCACCAUCUUCACUAUGUAAAGAUGAUCAUUGGAAUGGAAAUGUUAGCAUCAAUUAUCAAUCAAAUCUAAAUGAACCAUAAAUUAAGAUUUAAUUAUCAUUUGAUCAGAACUUAUGAGACAUGUUUUUACUAUUCAUACUUUUUCAUGGCUCUAUUCAAAGCUUUUUUACUGUGUUUUCAUGCUUAUUAUAUAUUCAAACUUCUGAUGGCUAUAUAAGUCUACAUUAUUCAUAAAUUAUCUCAUAGAUGAUUUAUUAAUUAUGAUAUUGCACUUUACAGAGAAGGACACCCAAAGAACAAUAGGUUUCAGAUUUAUAUUAUGGUGUAAAAUAGUAACCAAAGAAAAAUGUUUUAAUUCAAAUAAUUUUUCAACCCUCCAGAAUAGCAGCAUGUUGGCAGUGAAGUCAUGCAUGUAGCCAGAGAUUUGGCAAACAAAUUAGACCCAAUAUAAGUCUAUGUUGAUAAAUAUAGUGAAGUAUUUGUAUUACUGAGAGGCAGGUGGCAGCGAAAUGAACAAAGUUGUUCUCAGUCAAAAACUAAAUUCAAGCGCAGUACAGUCUCAUACUCAGCAGUCAUAAAUCGACAUGAUGUUCAGUUAAUGCAACAGCUUUUCACACACCAAUUAAAGUGUAUUUAGACCGCUGAUGCAGGAUUUGGCAGCAGUGUGUGCCGCAGUGAUGUCAUGCAGUGGUAGAUCUGUGGUUGCAGUGACAGGAGAAGGCAACUGUCUUCCUCAGCUGAAGACAAUAACAGCAGGAUUAGCCUUGACUUUUUUUUUAAUGGUGAAACAAAUGUUGGGAUGUUGAAUCUGUUUCGUCUUGUCACUGUCUGCCUGCUGUACACUGCCUGUUCUCUGCUGAGGCUUCACUAGCACACACACUAUUACUGACUGGAACAGGUUAAGGCAGGACACCUCAGAUAAGCUCGUGGCACACUUGAAUGUAGGCCAUUUUUAGUUAUUUUUGGUUAGAAGAAAUUCAGCCCUUUAGAGGAUACAAACUUAGAAUCGUAAAAGAACUUAAUUUUUUCUUUCCUACUAGAAAUUGCCUCUUUCAAAGCUAUUGAAAGCACACUGUAUUCUAAACAUGAAUGAAGAGGCUGAUGUCCUAGAAAUGCAAUUAGCAAUAGCAAUGCCCAGGAAUAAAUUUUCUUAACAGAGUGAUUGAUCAGUUGUGUUGUCUUAUCUUCAUAUCUUCCAAAUAUCUCUUGGCUUGCUUUGUCAUUUUUACAUGCCAUGCGGUAGCUGGUUGCCAUUGUCAUCAUGGCAGACUGGGAGCCGGGGAGAGGAUGCCAGCGCUGUGCCAGUUGGCUCAAGUAGUGAAAACACAAGGCAGACACAGCACGAUUCUAAUCUUUAUCGUUCCAGACACGAAGGUCACUUUUGUGGCGAUUGCAGUUUUUAUGUCCCAUUAGUCACAAGACUAAAAUACUAUGUAUAGAUCUGUAAAACUACCUGCAGUAGACCAUAACUCACACUGCUUUUCGUCAUGUGUGUAUUUAACUGAGUUACAGUAUGUACAAGAUUUAGCUCAUAUACACUAUUAAAUGUGAAUUUUCUUUUUAAAUCCAGGGAGAAAAAGAUUGAGGUCAAGUUAUUCAGACAAGGUUAAGUAACACUGGGUGAAUCAGAGCCACUCCAGUGAUCGAGCAAACAGGAAUUGCACAAGUUUAUUAUUAGGAUAUAAGCCACAAUCAGAAAUGGUAAACAGGUAAUUGCAUAUCUUACUUGCUUUUUCCCCAGAAUUGUAUAACAACAUCAUAUGUACAGAUAGUAGGAAUGUUGGUUCACAAGAGGCUCAUCAUGACUACUAUUGUCUUAUUCUGUUAAAAAUCAAACAAAUGCUGCUUUCUUCUUUGCUGUGCUGCAUUCACUGUAGCUUACAACUAAUAAAAAGCGUGUGUACCUUUACUUAUUGUAUAGCUUUAUCAGUUUUCAUGCAGCUCUCCAGCCUGUGGACCUAUCCUCCUGGUGGUGCUUUGCCUGGUAGACAAUAGUCCUGCAAAUAUCAGGGGCCAAGUCAUUAUAUUUUGCUCAGCAGGUGUAGACAUUAUUGGAGUGUUGAACUAAUGAUAUGUAAUGAGCUCUCUGUGACACAUGUCUAGCCAUCCUUACUAUCAUGGGGCCCAUUAAUAGAUAACAGCAUCAUAAUUAGCUUCGUUGGGAAGCCAAGCCAAAGCUUAUAAAUAUAUCAAACUAUAUUUAAGUUGCGUGUGCAGUUUCAUAUGCUGUGUGUCCCUGCAAUGGACCAAAAAGUGUAUGAAUCUUGCUUUAAUGCUUGUUUAGUGAAUUUAGUUUGUUUAUCAACAUGGCGAUGCUUACAUACUAUCAAAGCACUGAUAAUGCAUAGCAUUCACUACUUCCUAAAGUGUGCACAUGUACAAAUGUCUGUAAUGACUCUUUUUUAAACAAACACCAAGAAAAAUAUUCCAUGACUAACAUAGGGAUGAGUCGUUAUUUGUUAGUGUUGUCAGUGUAAAUUGAAAGCCCAGGACACAAAUACAUGGCUGUCUUAAAAAUUUAUAUUGGAAAUGGUUUUGAUGUUGUACCCCACUGCAAACACUUUCAGCUUUCUGCAGGUCUCUUAGCAACAGCAAACAAAGGCAGGACCCAUCUCAAGUUUCCCGUGGAGCGGCCAGUCCGGCGUGCCUUUGAUCUUGACUGGGAAAAUAGCUGAGUGGGCACUACUCGCAUUUGUCUUUCAUUUACUCCAGCACCCCCCGCCCCCUCCCAAAAUGUUCCCUGAAACAGCCAAAUCUUCAUCUGUCCCCAGCAACCAACACCCCUCCAGGAUAAUUAACCAUAGCAAGGGAAGUCAUUGAGGCACUACAAAGUUUAGUUGAAAUUGGAUGUUUUCGUUUUGGAGCAGAGUUGCUACCUUUAGUAGGCUAUCAUUUGUGGUUCUUCUGUGCAGGAAAAUGAGUGUGUGAACCAGGAUGGUAUUUUAUCCUUUGUUUCCAUUGUCUCAAUGUAGUCUUACUGCAGAAUUUAUCAAGUCCCAGGACUUUGACAUAAAAGCCAUAAUAAAUACAAAGUGCCUUUAACCCUGCCUUUGCACUCUAUAAACUUAUGAACUAUAUGAUCCAAACUGAAAGCACUCAUUUUAUUCCAUAAAAGUCCCAGUGCCCACAGAAAACUGGGCACACAGUGGAGCUGAUGUGGAUUUUAAAAGUCACGUGGCUGCCACAGAGUGCUCUUAUUUUGAAUUCUACAUUUUAUAAGUAGGCUGCACACAGGAAAAAUAAUAUUUUUUACUUGUUUCUCUGUGUUUAAUAAUGCUUUCAGAGUAAGUCCCAGGAAUCAAAAUAUAAAUAACUCCCUCAGUCUGUGCAUAAACACGACCAAGGAUAGAUAGGGUAAUGUAUCUUAGGCUAUUGAAUGUUAUCUAACUCCAGUACUCUGCUCUGCUUUCAUCCAAAACAGCUCAGACAGCUCUGGAGAUUUAACAAAUUGAAGUGUUACACACUGUUUUGGUGUAAUUUACUGUAAUUGAUGUUUCUAUCUUGUGCCGAGGCCUUCUAAAGCAAUUGCUUGUGUUUGUAGGAAGACAUGCAGCCCAGUGGGGUGUAUUGACUCAGUCUGUUGACUAAUACUGCUCUGUUGGCAUGUUUUAAUGCUCUCCCAUUGUUUGACUAACAGACUCCUCUGUAAAGCUAAAAGCACACCUUGCACACAGCUUAAGAUGGGGAUCAGUUUUAUACUUUUUUCACACUGUAGCAAUGAACUGGAAAUAAACCUGUUUUCUUUUGGUGUGAAGAGGCCAACAUGGAUUGUCUAACCUGGGUCUGUAACCUUUCUUGGGUUCUGGGUUUAAAGGUCCAGUAUGUAGAAUUUAGUGGCAUCUAGCAUUGAAAUUGCAGUUUGCAACCAUUCGAAUACCGCUCAGAUCACCCUCCCAUUCCAAGCAUGUAGGAGAAACUACGGUGGCUGCGAAAUUCGUACAAAACGCGAAAGGCCCAAAUUAGAGCCAGUGAUUGGUUUGUCCAUUCUGGGCUACUGUAGAAACAUGGCAGGGCAACACAGCGACCUCCAUGGAAGGGGACCCAUUCCAUCUGUAGAUAAAAACUGCUUAUCCCAAGGUAAUGGAAACACAAUGGUUCUUAUUUUUUAUUAUUAUAGCGAUUGCGAUUAUGGCGAUUAUACACUAAUGAAAACAUACUUUUGAAUAUUAUAUUACAUUUCUAUCAAUAGAUCCUCCUAAAUGCUACAUACUGGACCAUUAACGCACAAUUUACACUGCUCAGCAAAUUCUCUUCCUUUGUUGAUCUCAGUGAUAAUUGUAGAUUUUAUAAUGAUGAUUGAAAAUGUUGUUAAAAGCUACAUUGUCUAUUACAUUGUACAUAUUGAAAUGCAAUGACCCUGUUAAGCGAUGACAUGUACAGCACAGCAGUGGCACACAUGCUUAUUUUGCUAUUGACCCAAUAUUUACCAUUGAGGGUAGCCUGGUGUGAGUGUUUCAAUAUAAGUUGAUUCCAUAUGCACAGUGGUGUGAAGAUUUAUUCAUAUCCUUUACUUAAUUAAAAGUAGCGAUACCACAAUGUAAAAAUACUCCAUUUCAUACUUCAUCAAGUCCAAAAUUAUUAUCAGCUAAAUUUACUGGUACUAGUGUCAAAAGUACUUGUUAUGCAGAAAAAUAUAAAGUAUAAAGUCUCACAAAAUAGAAAUACUUUCCACCACUGCAUAUGCCAUAUCCUGUAUCACACAUGGGAUUCAUAUGAGUUUUGUGUAUGAAAAAGUAGUCCACUGUGUGAUGGUGUAAAAAAUAACAGAUGGAAUGAUGAUAAACAGACAUUUAUAAAGUGUGCAGGUAGUAUCAGAAAUUGACAGCAAGGCAAAUCAAGUUUCUUUCACCAAAUAUGGUAGCUUUAUGGACAAAUAUAAGGGAAUCUCAUGUAACAUCACAGAAAUCAUGAGAAUUUAUCAUUUAAUAUUUUAUGUGAUGAAAUAUUUUUGAUUGUAAGUUCAGAUGCCUUUAAAAGCUCAGGAAAAAGCUAGUAUAUUUCAAUGAGCUGUAAAUUCAGGGGGAGUUUAACUGAGCAAUGCUCUCUUUUUCAGGAAUGUUGUGAUCACAUUCCGGGGGAUUGUACUGACGACCUCCCAGUCAGAAGCUUGCUUCUGUAACCUUUAGGCCACCACUGCCCCUAAAUGUAAACACACACACACAAAACAUUUUACAUGACAGUGUUUUGUUAACUAUAUUCUGUAUGAGUGCUAUUUGUGUAUUUUUCAGCACCCUUUAGAGAGAAGAAAAGCCAUGUUUCAUCUGUUAUACUGAAGCUUGUUUGUUCGUCCUAGUCGGAUCCUAUUUUGGUUUGUCAAAGCAAAGCUGCAGAAGAGCAGGUUUUUACAUUCCUUUAUGAUCCUUAUAUGGAAGUGACUACGGUUUGGGUUGCUACAUGUGACAGAACUGUGAAAAAACUGUCCCACCUCUGCCUUCAACUGCCUGUAUUCUCCCCAGCAUACACCUUACACACUGAGAAGUCUUACAUUCAUUACCUCACAAUAGUCGAUGCUAUAUAGUCACAUUGCUCAGCACUAGGAACUCUGUUACCAAAAUGACACAGGAUGAUAAACAAAAGGUUGCGAUGUACCACAGAGAAAUUGAAGUGCUCAGAUAAGCAGACCCUUAACUUUCAAGCAGUCUUGUGACCUGGAAAGGCCAAGAAAGGUUUGCUUUUACCUCUCACCUUCAAGAACUCUUUUCUAACUAAAAGGGUUCUUCUGGGAAGAAAAAAAGAACAUUUGAAGCAGAUGUUUUUAUUUUCUCUCACAAAAACCUAUCGGAACCCAUUUUAGCAUAUUUAUUUAUAGCAUGUUUCUGAUUCAGAAUCCUGCGCAAAAAGACUGUUAUAGCAUCAAGUAUCAUCACAUUACCUCUGACAAAAAAUGAAGCAUGUCUUCAUGCUUGUUUGCACCAAACCCCACACAGAGUUAUACCGCUCUGAUAACUGCAUGUGUCAUCUGACAACAAUGUUGGGGUGGAGAAUGUAUUAAUAUCCUCCUGAGCCCUAAGCAUGCACAUUUACUGUCACCUUAAUUUAUCCGUUUACAUGCUUACCAAAUAUAGGUGUCCUAAAAGGUACUUUAUACUGGAACCAUUCCAAUAUUUAGCAUUACUAUAGCAAGAGGGUGAGGCUCUUUUUCUCUGAAAGUAUCAUUUCAACAUUUGUUCAAUAAAAACAAUUUGCCAAUCUGCCAGUUUGCCAUUUUAGAUUUUUUAAAGGCAGAAGCCAACUUACAGACCCCCUUGAGUUGUGGCGAUGUGUGCUGUAUCUAAGUAACAAAAAUAUUACUUUGAAGAAGGGGGUCCUUGAAAUCCACUGUAUUAGAUGGUGCAUGGUUAUUCUUAUGAGGGCUGCUCCGUAACAUUUCCCUUACUGCUGCCAUUACUGUGAGUUACAGAUCUUCAGAAUAACAUCCUUAUAAAUAAUGCAGGUCAACAAUUACAUGAGGAUACUGUACAAGGUCAUGUUAUUUGCUUAUGUAUAUUAGUAAAAAUUUCAUCAUGUGAAGACAAACAUGCUUUCUCUCAUUAGAUGUUGAUAUUUUACAUUUUCGAGAAAUUUGUGUUGCAACUUUCUGCCACCAGUAGCAGCACUGAGGGCAAUGCUACAGAGCAGCACUCCAAGCAGUGAGCAAAGAAUUUUUUCAUCACAGAUUCUUUGAUUUUACAGCUACCAUUUAAUACACCCACAUACUGUCCUUUUAAUUUGUAUUGCCACCAGAUUUCUUUUGCUUGGCUUAAGGUGUCGCGAACAAGUUCUUGUUCUAGCAUAAGAUACUUCUUGAGCUCCAGUAGCUGCCAAUGUGGCAGGACCUGCAUGUGAAUUAUGCGAUAUGAACAAUGAGCUCCUGACUCAAUGUUAGUCCCUUAGAUUCCAUUUUAAAUGGUCGGUAUACCCAUGUUAAACUAAAUAAACAUAUGUUUCAUUUGCCUCUAGUGGUGCAAUGAGGUUUGGUUUAAGCCAGUUUUUGAGAUAUUCAUCUCUGACAGUUCGGCCUCCAUUCCAAUGAAGUUUAAUGCAAUUUAAUUUACAUUUUAAAAAAUCAAUCAAAUCAAUCAAUCAACAACAAUGUCUCUUUCCAGAAACAAUGUCCUCGUUACUCUGUGUAAUCCACAGACCUCACUGUGAAAAGUUUUCAUUGGAAGUACUUUAUAUUGAAGAAAUAAUCCCGUUUAGGGGUGGAGGCAGAAAUUUCAGACAUGGAUAUCUCAAAACCCAGACAAAUUAAACCAAAACUAUACGAAUUGCUAGAUACCUAGAGUGUUUUUUUUUUUUUUGUCAUUUGGGUGAACUAACCCUUUAACUCAAAGGCCACUCACUGCUCUAUAAAUUGUUGUAUUUCGUCUAUAUUUCCAAUAAAGAUUACUUUCUUCUGGGUAGAUAGACUUUAAUCAUUACUUGAGCAUAUUAAUCUUGCUUUCAGGGACCAUAUUGUUCCUGCAGUCCAGAGUUACCUUAAUGUUUCUCCUCAUUUCCAGAUGAUUUGGUCCCAGACACACUACCACCAGACUGGAAAAGAGCACAGUUUAAUUUUCAUCUCUGAGAGAGGAUGUUUCAGUGUGGAGGUGUUUAAGAAGAAUUUUGCUAAUUUUACUGGUGCAAAAACCCACCUACACUUUUACAAUUCAUCAUAAUCUGAAUGUAGACCAUUGUAGUAGCAGCUACAGUUAAGUUUUGCAUCUCAUGUUUAUCCUUUAAAACGGUUUGUUCUUACACUUAAAGCCUGAGCUCGCUCAAAUAUCCUAAAUUCAAGUUGGGUCUAUGAAAUGACAUAAAGAGAAAGAGAUUCUCUUUAAAUUGUUGGAAGUAAAAAAUGCAUCAGUAGAUUUACUGAAACUGACAUCAGUCAGCAUGUUUUAAAUAUACAUUUAACAUAUGAUCUGUUGGCUGUUGCUCUUACCAAACUGAAUACGUUAACACCAACUCUCAAGGGAUUUAUUAUGCUGUUUAUCGAUGCAGUUUUCUGCAUGGAGUUUUCUGGAAUGUAGACUGCUACACCUACACAGAAACAGGAGUACUAUAGAUUUUAACACAUCACUGAGGUCUGCAGUAAUUUUCACCUCUGAAUAUUUAUCUUUUCCCCUCUAGGGCACUGCGUUUUAGUUCCUCUUCCAUUUCAAAAAGUUUCCACUGGAAUAUCUGCAUAUAUAAAGAAUGAGUAAAGCCUGCAGGGCUAUUUAGAGUAAUGCAAAGACAUGUUACACCAUCUCAAUCUGUGUCAGCCUAUAUGCUAUGUACACUUGGAAGAAGUCAGUGUCUGUUUGUGCCAUAUAGAAUUAUCACCUCUUAAGUAUAUGACAUUUCUGGAGAGAAAAAACAAUCAUGGCACAGACGGAGUGGGGGUGGGGUGGCAUUUGUCAGUGCUCUCAUUGGGGUUCAAAAGUAGAAUGUAAAAUGUCUGUCUUUGUCUAAUCCAACACAUUUUAUUUUUGUAACUGAGAAAUCUGUUCAGGGACCCCAACAUUUUUUCCAACUGUCAGGGUGUCAUUUGUCAGAAAAAAAGUGAAACUGAAUUCCCACCCCCAGUCCUUCUGUAUGUUGUGAGGUUAUAGCAGUUUCAAACACACAAGGUGGGGGUGUGUAAGGGACGCACAUGAGAACAUGGUGACCUGUUACCUCAAACACACACUUUUCAUGGUAAUUUUGCUCUACAGAGAGCAUUUUGGCUGAUCUCCUGACUUCCUCUUUUCCACUGUUAUGCCCUAUAGCCUCAUCCUCCAUCAGUGAACGAUGACUUUUAUGGAGCCAAAGCCGUUGGACUAGAGAGUAUUGUCCCUCGUGAUUGAGAUGUUAACCUUCAGGGCAGCCCCUUGCUCUUUAGCGUCUCAUUUUUUUCUUCCCACACUCCUCCUCCUGCUUCGUCUUCUUUUCCUUUUCCCCUGGUUUCUCUAUGCCAGUAGCCUGCACAGUGAGGUCGUCAAACCAUUAGUGAGUCCCAGGACUGAUAAUGAAGCCACAGAGGUGGUCUGAGCCAGUGUGACACAGGAGCUGGAGCACAAGAGGAAGGUAGAUUAGGAUAAUUACCUGGCCACGGGGGGAACGAUGAGAAAGAUGUCUCACUUCCUGCAGGACCAAGUGCAAUAUAAUCAGGUGUGACACCCUUUGCUCAGAAUAAAGAAUAAGAAUAAAGAAAAAUUUAAAAAUGUGUUCCAAUCAUUUAUUAUGAUCAAAAUGUGAAAUAAUGCAAUUUUGAUAUUGUUGUGACAGUGAUUGCUCAUUCUCUGUUUUUGCAGGUUUCCUCCACAUCCCUCACAUGUAUGUAUGUAUGUAUGUAUUUAUUUGUUGUUUAUGUAGCUGUGGUCUAGGUCUCUCACACAUACUGUACGUAAAUCCUAAAUAUCUACGAGACUUUGAAGAGCCUGUGAGGUCAGGUUUUAAAUUAUGGUCUGCACCGACACCAGGCUUUCUCUCCCCACUCCUGUAAAUCCAUUUUCCACACAAUGCAUUUCAAAUCAAAGCAGCGUCACCAUAACAUGCCUUAGGAAACAUUAAGCCAUAGUGCAUUACUUUCAUGUAUGAUAGCAUAGCCCCUGUAUGCUUUGAUGUGCUCACUUUUUUUUAAUGCUUUAUUAAUAACACACUGGCUCCUUCUCACACCAACAUCAGCUUCUGGUGCUCCUUUCUCUCUUCCUGAACUACAUCCCUCACUCCUUCCAUGCCCCAGCUCCUUCAUCCCUCCCCAACCCCUGAGUCUUGUCUCAGGAUUGGCCUGUUUGUGUUUGGGAGGGGGAUUAGAGGGAAUGACAUGAGCCUCGAGAUGAAGAAAGUGACAAAGACCUAUCAGAGGGUAGAGAGUACGGAACGCUGCAUCACCAUUGGUUGCUGUGGAAAUCAGACACGUCUUCAUUUCUUCCAGCCAUCCUCUCCAAGUGCCCAGCAUUCAUUUCCACGCCUGGGGAGGGAAGGGGGGGUCAGGAUUAGAGUUUCUGUUUGUGUGUUUAAGUGUGUGUGCAUGUGUAUGUUUGCUUGCAUGUUGUGUGCUGUAAACAUCUUAGAGAUACAGAGGGAUGAGUGCGUAGACACUGACAGCACUCACCUCCUCCAAAGCUGGCCAAAAUACAAAUGCUGUAGUAGUCUGCAGAUUUCUAGUGUCGUUCUAGCUGAACACAUUCCCUAUGAAUGGUAUGCCUGAUUCAUAGAUAUGUAAAACCUACUUAGGAUACAGAUUUCUCACUUAUUUCUCGCAUUAUUUCAACCUUAUCACUAGAUAUUUUGUAUUGGUCUUACAGGCAAAGGUAUCCCAAGGCACACAAUGGCUGUUUAGUAUUUGAUGAUAUUUUCUUUCUGAUAAUUUCCAUGCAAUGUUGGCAAUUUACUGGAUCACUUAGCAGAUUGGGCACGUGUGCACAAACAUCUGCUGAUUAAAUUUUCUGCUUUUGUGUUUUGUUUGCGCUCCUUUUUGAUGUUUCUUUCCUCUUUCUGUUAUUGUACUAUUAUUGAAUCUGGAUUUUUGUUGUUGUAUUAUAAUUUCAGCCAGCAACUCCUGCAGCAGUUUCUCAAGUCAUUUAAAUGCAAUCUGUGGUUGUAUUCUGCGAAAAAAUAAAUAUAUUAAUAUACUAAA